AUGGUGUGUCCUCCUGAAAAUUUGGGUGCAAGCAUGGCAAAGAAAACAGCUAUGAACUGUCAUUCACUGGAGCAGUUCUCUAAAAACAUAAAGCUUGGAAUACAUGAAGACUCUCAAAAUCAGAAGGAGCUUUCAGAACUAUUAUGAUUCUACACAUCUGCUUCUGGUGAUGAGAUGGAUUCUCUCAAGGACUGUUGCACCAAAAGGAAGGAAAACCAGAAACAUAUCUGCUACAUCACAGGUGACACCAAGGGCCAGGUAGCUAACAGCCUCCAUGAAACGUCUUCGGAAGCAUGGCUUAGAAGUAAUCGAUAUGAUCAAGCCAAUUGAUGAGUACUGUGUCCAACCGCUGAAGGAUUUUGAGGGGAAAACUUUAGUGUCAGUCACCAAAGGAGGCUUGGAAUUUCCAGAAGAUGUAGAAGAGGAAAAAAAACAGGAAGAGAAGAAAACAAAGUUUGAAAACAUCUGCAAAAGCAUGAAAGACAUCUUGAGAAAAAAGUUGAAAAGAUGGUUGUCAUCAAACUGAUGACAACCGCAUGCUGUAUUGUCACAAGCACAUAUGGCUGGAGAGCAAACAUGGAAAGAAUUAUGAAAGCUCAAGCCCUAAGUGACAUCUCAACAAUGGGUUACAUGGCAGCAAAGAAAUACCUGGAGAUUAACCCUGACCAUUCCAUUAUUGAGGCCUUAAGACAAAAGGCAGAGGCUGGCAAGAAUGACAAGUCUGUGAAGGAUCUGGUCAUCUUGCUUCAUGAAACUGCACUCCUGUCUUCUGGCUUCAGUUUGGAAGAUCCCCAGACACAUGCUAUCAGGAUCUACAAGAUGAUCAAACUUGGUCUGGAUAUUGAUGAAGAUGACCCUACUGCUGGCAAUACCAGUGCUGCUGUAACUGAAGAAAUACCACCUCUUGAAGGAGAUGGUGACAUAUCAUGCAUGGAAGAAGUAGACUAAGCUCUCCCUGAAGAAUGACUUGUAUAUGUGUUCAAUACUUCCUUCCCUCUGAUAAUAUAUUUCAAGGAUUUUUUUUUAAUUUUUAACAUUUAAAACAUCUGUAUGGCAUGACAAUAACUACUUUAAGGGGAAGAUAAGAUUUCUUUCUACUUCUAAGUGUGAUACUGUGAUACUUUAGACACUGAAGCAGAGCUAGUAAUGCUUUUCUGGUUUCACAUUGGCUUAUUUUAACAAAUAAAGGUAAAAUGUUGUAAGAUCUAUCUAACCUAUGUUAACUUUGUAGCCUAGAGUAUUUAGCUACUAAGCCAAAUUCCUUAACAGACCA